AUUACUCCUCAACAAUUCCCUUUAUCAUCCAAACUUGUAGUCUCAAGGAAGAAUCCAAGUUAGCUUGAGUCAUCUCUGAAGGCUGGUGUUGCAGGAUUAAGGGAGAGGAAUUCACUUUUUAAUUGAACCUCUUCAUGAGGUUGCAUUCACUAUGUUGCUUGAGAUUGAGACUCAGGUGUUCCUCCUUGGAAUGCUGGUGUAGUGUUAGUGCUGUGAAGCAUCUUUCCAGUCCCAGAAUGUCUUAGAAAUCAGGGUGGAAGUCCAUUCAACCCAAAUUGUUGGUGUCCUGAGUACAAUUUUGGAAAUGUAUAGCAACAUUGGAUGUCUUCUAACACCUUUCUUGGUUUCUUCAUUCAGGAGGGAUAUUGCACAUAUCCAUGAAGUGACUGAUACAGGCACUGCACAGAUGCUCAGAAAAAUGCUGAGGAGACCACUCUCCACUGACAGACACCUCUUGAGAGCUAGCAGACACCAUGGCAUUGUUGCAAUGGGGAUGGGAAGAAAAUGAAUAUAAUUUGCACAAGAAGAGGACAGAGCUCAUCCAAGUAAGUCCAUAGGUGAUGAGGAGGCACAGCCUUAUCUCCUGGCAUGUGGGAGUUUCUGGACCAGUUGGAGCCAUGAAUCCCAGCCUGGAGCUGCACUCUGGAUGUGCAUCUUUUAUCUUUAUUUAGGGAAAUAUCAGCAGAUAGUCCUAAUCCCCAUGAUUUCUGCACCAGCAUCUUUUAAGGGCUCACUGUUAAAUCGCAAUCACCACAAUGAUGAGGUAUUUGGGGCAGGAAUGGGUAUUUCCAUGAUUCUGGCCAAGGCACCACUUGUCCCCCGCGGCGCUUGCCGAAGGUGACGGUAAAACAGAGUUCACAACCCGAGGAGCAAUUGCUGGCUGUAAUAGUGUGUCACGUAUUAAGGGAGCAUGUUUGAAACCACGUUAUAUUAUUAAAAUUCAUGGGAGUGAUUUAUAGGGGUUUUUAAAAACAGCAGCUUGCCAAUAUAAAUUGGCUUAGGAAAGUCAACUGUAAUCCACCCAGGUCCAAAUAAUGACAUUUCCUCCAAUACAUCCAAAAAGCUGAAAAGCAGAAAAUAAUAUCCAGGCUCCAGAGAUAAGGCGAGCACCCAAGGGAAAAAGGACUCUGAAAUAUUCAUGCAGCCGUAGAUUGGAUGGUGGAAAUGGCCGUUCCCAACGGCUGCGUUUAGGGACUGAUGAAUUUAGUUACUGUACCUUUAUAUUUAUCGCUCAAUAAACAAGACAAGCUCCUUUACGAGGCUGAGCAAGACUAAUUUAGCUAUUUUAGUGCAAAGGAAAUGGUUUUCUGGGCAAGGCAAGGGGUUGGUAAUUUUGUAUGAAAUUAGGAGACUUUUAAUUUAGCCACUGAAGGUGCUGGGAAUAACAGGGCUGGAGAUGAGAUGUGAGGAAUAAAUCCCCCCCAUAGCAGUGGGGUUGGGUACUCACCCUGGGUUUUGGGGGACCCCACACUGAGAGAGAGCGGAGCCUUUCUGGGCUGCCUGCACCUGCUGAUGAAGAUGUUCCAGCUCUUGAUUUUUAAGAUGAUUUUUGGAGGCUGAGGCCGUCGCUGUAAAGGUUUUACAACAGCAAUGCUGGAAUCAAGCGUGGCUCUGUAAAAGUGUCAGCAAAUGAAGCGGUGAUGCCCAAGCGGUAUUAACACCAAAAUGACCUUUCCAACAGUUAGGGCUUUAUGGGAUAUUAUAAAUUCUCCCUGUGUUGGCAGGGUUAUAACUAGGACAUUAGUAACAUCUUCUCUGGCAAUAUUUGAGGCAGGAAUGUAGUGUUUGGAGCCAAAAACACCUAACUUAAUUUUUUUUAGUGUUUCUGUAGCUGAAAAGUUGAUUUGAGAUGUUUCCAGCAGAAAUUUGAAUACACAUGGUCAAAAGGAGAUUGUGUCUAUUAAAGAUGAGUUUUGAGCACUCAAGUAGGGUUUUUUUGAGGGCUCUUAGUAUUUCCAACAGCCCAAACUCAAAGCGAUUUAAAUGUAUUGCUUGGGGUUUUUUAUUGCCUUAGUUUCUAAGACUUCAGAUUAAUAUUGUCAAACCUUUUUUUUAUUGCCAUAAAGACAGGGAAAGUCCUUUUUAAUGAAAGCCACAAGCUCUACACAAUACCUUGACUUUGCAGCUGCUAUCUGCAGUACCAGAUUUCACUGAACUUACAUGAAAAUCCCCUGAGUGAGCCCACUCUGAUCUUUUUUUCACCUCUUGCAUUGCCACUGGGAAAUAAAAUCAGUUUUUGUGCUGGUAUUUAUUAUGAAGUAUAUAUUUAGACAAUCCAUGCUGCAAUUUAGCAGUUCCGAGAGCUUUGGGGAGUUGUUUGAAGCGACUUUUCACUCACCUGCUUAUUGAAACCCCUUUAGAAAGUGCUGCUGGGCUCAAUCUUGCUCAUUUAUUCCCUGCAGCCUCUACUCUGCCUGUCCUUUGGCAUCGAGGGCAGCAGCAGCAGCAGCAGCACACGGGACAGUGGCAGGAGGGUGGCUUAUGGUUCA
ensembl:lncRNA